UCCUGAACAGAUUCUGUGAUGUCCCAGGAGCUGCUGGUCUUGAAAAUGGAGAUCUCGAAUGUCUCUAUCUCCACACGUGAAUGGGAGGCGGGGCAGAGGAGGGGCUGGAGCUACGUCAGGCAGAGCCUCAACAACGCCAAACAGAGCAUUGACUGGGCCAACCGCAGUGUGCAGGCUGGGAACGAGAAGCUGAAGAAGCUGACGGAAGACAUAAACAAAAUCAAGGCUCAAUUACAGCAGAUCUCUGAGAUGCUGAAGAAAAUGCAAAAUCCACAGCCCACACAGGCCACUCGGUAAUCAAGAGGACAGGGAAGCCUGGGCGCAGCUCGAGGACAGGGGCGUGCCUCCCCGUACAUAUGACACGUGGGGCCCAGUCUCGUCUGAACCCACUCAUCAUCCCCACAUAUCGAAUCAUGUGUCACGGUGAAUGAGUGUUGUGGAGCUGCGUGUGUGCGUGUGGGGGGGGUAAGCAUUUCAUGGAGGGCAGGUCUUGGGUGAAUGUUGAAUGUGGAGUCACAGAGGGCGUGGUGUGCACCUGUCACUGUCCAUGUGACACGUGUAUAUCAUAGCAUGUGGUGUCAUGCACAUCACAGUGGGUAGCUGUGUCAGCAGGGACCACAAAGGUGUGUCACAGUGAGGGUGGGUGCUGGUGACACGUGUUACCCAGGCAUGUUUCACUGUUGGUGUGAAUAUGCAUGAACGCCCUGCAACAUGUUACAUGUAUGUAUAAACGUGUCAUGGUGGAAUUGGUGGGAGCACCCCGUGGGAGUGUAACUGCGGGUAUCACGGUGUGUGCCUGCCACUCCCUGUGCCCCGAGAACAAUGUGUGUCCAUGUGAGUGUGCCUGGCUGUCACCGAGGGCGCUGGGAGCAGCACACCCGUGUGCCUGUGUUUCCGCAUCACAUUUUGUGGUUCAUGGAAGUAAAGGCCAAGGGAAAACAA